GAUGAACGCUGGCGGCGUGCUUAACACAUGCCAGUCGAACGGAAAGGCACCUGAGUUCGGGUGUACUCGAGUGGCGAACGGGUGGGUAACACGCGGGUGAUCUGCCCUGCACUUCGGGAUAAGCCUGGGAAAGUGGGGCUAAUACCUGAUGGGUCCGCAUUUUGGUUGGCGUGGUGGAUAGUUUUACGGUGUGGGAUGAGCUAGCGGCCUAUCUGCUUGUUGGGGGGGUAAUGGCCUACCAAGGCGGCGACGGGUGGCCGGCCUGAGAGUGUGUACGGGCACAUUGGGCCUCAGGUAGGGCCAAGACUCAUACGGGCGCCAGCGGUGGGGAACAUACCGCAAAGGGCGCAAGCCUUAUGCAGCGACGUCGGGUGGGGGAUGACGGUCUUCGGGUUGGAAACUCCUUUCUCCAAGUACGAAGCGCAAGUGACGGUACCUGAAUAGAAAGCCACGGCUAACUACGUG
rnacentral:rRNA from 1 species